rfam:Brettanomyces bruxellensis AWRI1499 AWRI1499_contig3235_scaffold89, whole genome shotgun sequence.
UCUCAGAUAGUUUAAUGGCUAGAAUUUUCGCUUGUCACGCGAGGGAUCCGAGUUCAAUUCUCGGUCUGAGAG